CAGUCGCCACGGUAAUACGUAGGGUGCAAGCGUUAUCCGGAAUUAUUGGGCGUAAAGAGCUCGUAGGCGGUUUGUCGCGUCUGCUGUGAAAACUGGAGGCUCAACCUCCAGCCUGCAGUGGGUACGGGCAGACUAGAGUGCGGUAGGGGAGAUUGGAAUUCCUGGUGUAGCGGUGGAAUGCGCAGAUAUCAGGAGGAACACCGAUGGCGAAGGCAGAUCUCUGGGCCGUAACUGACGCUGAGGAGCGAAAGCAUGGGGAGCGAACAGGAUUAGAUACCCGCGUAGUCCCUGUCUCUUAUAC
rnacentral:rRNA from 1 species